rnacentral:rRNA from 1 species
AUACGUAGGGGGCGAGCGUUGUCCGGAAUGAUUGGGCGUAAAGGGCGCGUAGGCGGCCCGGUAAGUCUGGAGUGAAAGUCCUGCUUUUAAGGUGGGAAUUGCUUUGGAUACUGUCGGGCUUGAGUGCAGGAGAGGUAAGUGGAAUUCCCAGUGUAGCGGUGAAAUGCGUAGAGAUUGGGAGGAACACCAGUGGCGAAGGCGACUUACUGGACUGUAACUGACGCUGAGGCGCGAAAGUGUGGGGAGCAAACAGGAUUAGAUACCCUGGUAGUCCACACUGUAAACGAUGAAUGCUAGGUGUAGGGGGUAUCGACCCCUUCUGUGCCGCAGUUAACACAAUAAGCAUUCCGCCUGGGGAGUACGACCGCAAGGUUGAAACUUAAAGGAAUUGACGGGG